UGGGGGAAGGGCGCACGCUAGAACCAGACGUGCAACUUGCAGGGCGUGAGCGCCUUGAAGGGGAGAUCACUAGGAGCAACUCGUGUUUACUCUCAAAAAGGCUUGGAGAACACAGGAUUGCUAAGGCAGAGGCGAGGUCUCCUCCUGAGGGGUGCUGUCCGUCUGUUAUGACGCUGAAACAGAUGCAGAGAAACCCACCACAGACCAGUGUCAGUGCCUGGAAGAUGACUCUUACUUCUUGCAACAUGAGAGACUGAACAAUCUUAGUAACUGCUGCUUGCACAGAAUAUGGUUAGGAUGAAAUGUCAGAGAACAGCCACUGGUCACUGCAGCCUGAAAACAGACUGUGGGAGAAAACAAAUGGAGACAGGAAGCUUUCUGCUUGUAUGUGAGGUGCUAAGAAAACACCUAUGGCCUUUGAGCACAUGCUCCCCUUUAAUUUGAUGGAGGCUCCCAUAUGGAUGAAGAUGAGCCAAAUACCUAGCGUCCCAGACAGAGAAUAAACAUUGGUGUCAAGGAGCUGUGAUGACUGGAACUCCCGUUAGUGGGGUUCAUUUGUAGACUUAUUCCUUUACAUUGAAAGAAGGCUGUCCUCUAGGAGUGAAAAUCAAGAGAGAGAAACUGUAUCCCUGGAAGCACGCUGCAAAGGAGACAACUCUGAAGGCAAAGUGGGCUCAAACAUUCUGGCCACUGACCAGGGGAAAGAGGAGGUCCACGUGGCCUCACUAUGGCCCCACGAACAGUUCCGCAAACAUUCAUUUCCUUUUGCUUUGAUUCACUGCCAAGCGAGCCACUUUGUUUAUUUACUGAACUUCAGGUACCUUGACAGGGGCACUAUUGAAGAAAAGAAAAGCACACAGAUUCCUAGAACAAACUCCACCUUACCGUCAAGUUACUCAUUGAAUUUCUGGCACUGAAUCAUCAGUCAUGACUUAGUUAAGAGACAAUUAACAGUAAAAUACUGAAAAUGCCAAUGAACUGCAAAGUCUGGGUUUUCUAUCUGUAUGGCUAAACUCCAGAAUGAGUGUAUCAAUUCAUCUAGGAAAUGACAGCCUCAGGCUUUCAAAUGGCAAGGCCACAGUCUUCCCUUGGUUGUCACCUUUUCUGUGGGGUCUCUCUGUCUGGGUUUUCAAAAUCCUGAGGUAAUUAUUUGACAACGUUACUUCAUUUGUUUGGGAGAUGAUCUCUAGUAGCCCCUGAAUGGAAAAGGACUGAGUCAGAGAAGGGAAGGAGCCACCGUGGGCAACUGAGACUCAGUCUUGUUGGGACACUUAGGAGACAGUGCUGAAUGGCCCCAGAGUUGUUUCAUAGGAGAAAUGUCCUGACUGUGUCCCUUCUACAGACUGGCUCAAGUUCCUUUAGUUUGUCUCCGUUUUAUCAGCUUCUCUUCUCAAUUAUCAUAGAAUACACAAGCUAGUUGGAAAGAGUAUUUGCAAUGGUUAAAAGCCCAACAGAAGGGAACAAUGUUAAAAUAAAGGCAGACUCUGAUCAAAUGCACAUAAACACAUCAUUUUGUCAAAAAACAGUAAAUCUGAAUAAAAACUGAUGCCCCACACUGACCUACUGGUGCCAGGGAAAAGAUAAGUCACAGCCACAGAGCUAGGGCUGAGUGCUUCGUUGACAAGACUACUCAAUUUUGACUUUGAACAUGUCCUCAGUCAGUCCCUUAGGAUGGGGAUAAUUGUGUGCAGAGCGCAGCGUGCUCUCUAUUCUUUGUACAACUCACAGAAAUAGGCACUUAAUGCUUCAUUUUUGGAUGAGGUUGAUCAUAGUCAUCAUCCCAAGUGCAAUAUUCUGAAAACUCAAGAGCACAGUCAAAUCUAAGAAUUUAGAGACCCUGAGGUUAAUUUUCCCUGAGGUUAAUCUCCCCAGACUAAUUGGUCCUCUCAGAAUCGAGAAUUAAGCUAUGAAGAAAACUAAUCUGUCUAGGGUCUUGUUUUAUUUUGCUAUUUAUAUUCUUUCAUUUUGCACUUCGGGGCAUGUAAUACUAGAAUUGAGCUCAAGAAUUUUAUAUUAUAUAUUUUGCAUUCUAUCAAAGUCUUAUCUUUUAUCCUGGUGUCUUUUAACUGCAUUUUUCUGUCUCAGUAGUUAUUUGUUUUAGAUGAUGCAGGUGGUAUAUACUCACUUUUAAAAUAUACAUGGUUAUAGAUAGCAUGUAGAAUUUGAUGAAGGUCAAUAACUAUCACCUAAUGAAACAUUUUAAUAGUUUUUCUGCACUGCUGUGCUAAUAUUUUAUGUCAUUUUUAUGGUCUAAAAGGUAUACUUGACAUAUACUAACUGAAAACAUAUGAAAUUUUGUUUUCAUAUGAUAUAACCAGGAAAUUACCAACACAACAAAUAUGAUCAUAUCUUUCACACCCAAAAGUCUUUUGUGAUUCUUUUCUCCCUACCAGCCUGACACCACAAGAAACCCCUAACUUAUUUUAUCUCACUGCGGAUUCAUUUGCAUCUUUUGGAAAUAUUCCAUGAAUAGAAUGAUACUGUGUAUA